UACGUAGGCAGCAAGCGUUGUUCGGAAUUACUGGGCGUAAAGAGUGUGUAGGCGGUGCUCUAAGUUCGGUGUGAAAUCUCCCGGCUUAACUGGGAGGGUGCGCCGGAAACUGGAGUGCUUGAGCGCGGGAGAGGAAAGCGGAAUUCCUGGUGUAGCGGUGAAAUGCGUAGAUAUCAGGAGGAACACCUGUGGUGUAGACGGCUUUCUGGACCGUAGCUGACGCUGAGACACGAAAGCGUGAGUAGCAAACAGG
rnacentral:rRNA from 1 species